rnacentral:sRNA from 2 species
ACAGUAAGUCAGCCUAAUCCAAGCUCAGCUGCUUUUGUUCUAGCAGCGCCCCUUGGAGCGGAGGAACCACCUUUUGGGGCUUAUCGCUGGUUGCCCCCUGUCCUUGCAGACAGGCCAAUCAGGAAGAGCAUCUCUCAGCUCUCGCCCGUCAGCUAACUCCGUAGGCCUUGAGAGGAGACUGA